GCAUCAGUGGUUUAGUGGUAAAAUCCAUCGUUGCCAUGCUGCGACAUCGAUGGGCCCCGUGUUCGAUUCACGGCUGAUGCA